UGGGGAAUAUUGGACAAUGGGCGAAGCCUGAUCCAGCCAUGCCGCGUGUGUGAAGAAGGCCUUUUGGUUGUAAAGCACUUUAAGCGAGGAGGAGGCUACUUAGAUUAAUACUCUAGGAUAGUGGACGUUACUCGCAGAAUAAGCACCGGCUAACUCUGUGCCAGCAGCCGCGGUAAUACAGAGGGUGCGAGCGUUAAUCGGAUUUACUGGGCGUAAAGCGUGCGUAGGCGGCUUUUUAAGUCGGAUGUGAAAUCCCUGAGCUUAACUUAGGAAUUGCAUUCGAUACUGGGAAGCUAGAGUAUGGGAGAGGAUGGUAGAAUUCCAGGUGUAGCGGUGAAAUGCGUAGAGAUCUGGAGGAAUACCGAUGGCGAAGGCAGCCAUCUGGCCUAAUACUGACGCUGAGGUACGAAAGCAUGGGGAGCAAACAGG
rnacentral:rRNA from 1 species